UACGGGGGGGGCAAGCGUUGUUCGGAAUUACUGGGCGUAAAGGGCUCGUAGGCGGCCAACUAAGUCAGACGUGAAAUCCCUAGGCUCAACCUAGGAACUGCGUCUGAUACUGGAUGGCUUGAAUCCGGGAGAGGGAUGCAGAAUUCCAGGUGUAGCGGUGAAGUGCGUAGAUAUCUGGAGGAGUACCGGUGGCGAAGGCGGCAUCCUGGACCGGCAUUGACGCUGAGGAGCGAAAGCCAGGGGAGCAAACGGG
rnacentral:rRNA from 1 species